rnacentral:rRNA from 1 species
UAUGAACGCUGGCGGCGUGCUUAACACAUGCAAGUCGAACGAUGAAGCCCAGCUUGCUGGGUGGAUUAGUGGCGAACGGGUGAGUAACACGUGAGUAACCUGCCCUUAACUCUGGGAUAAGCCUGGGAAACUGGGUCUAAUACCGGAUAGGAGCGUCCACCGCAUGGUGGGUGUUGGAAAGAUUUAUCGGUUUUGGAUGGACUCGCGGCCUAUCAGCUUGUUGGUGAGGUAAUGGCUCACCAAGGCGACGACGGGUAGCCGGCCUGAGAGGGUGACCGGCCACACUGGGACUGAGACACGGCCCAGACUCCUACGGGAGGCAGCAGUGGGGAAUAUUGCACAAUGGGCGCAAGCCUGAUGCAGCGACGCCGCGUGAGGGAUGACGGCCUUCGGGUUGUAAACCUCUUUCAGUAGGGAAGAAGCGAAAGUGACGGUACCUGCAGAAGAAGCACCGGCUAACUACGUG